AUUGAACGCUGGCGGCAGGCCUAACACAUGCAAGUCGAGCGAGCGGCGGACGGGUGAGUAAUGUAUGGGGACUGCCCGAUAGAGGGGGAUAACUACUGGAAACGGUGGCUAAUACCGCAUACUAUCGGAUAACCCAUAUGGGAUUAGCUAGUAGGUGGGGUAAAGGCUCACCUAGGCGACGAUCCCUAGCUGGGCUGAGAGGGUGAUCGGCCAAACUGUGACUGAGACAAGGCCCAGACGCCUACGGAGGCAGGAGGGGGGAAUAUUGCACAAUGGGCGUAAGCCUGAUGCAGCCAAGCCGCGUGUGUGAAGAAGGUCUUAGGGUUGUAAAGGACUGUAGGCGGGGAGGCGGUACCCACAGAAGAAGCACCGGCUAACUCCGUGCCAGCAGCCGCGGUAAUAC
rnacentral:rRNA from 1 species